UCGGAGGUAGCUCAACUGGCAGAGCACGCGGCUGUUAACCGCGGGGUUGAGGGUUCGAGUCCCUCCCUCCGAG
rnacentral:tRNA from 1 species